AGCGGUCGAACGUGAGCCCGGGCCCCGCCGCUACAUUGUAGCCGCCACAUUCCCCGCUCGAGCAUCCCCAGGCGGGCCAGCUCCGCACGUGACACCGGCCGCAACAACGCGAGAGCCGUGCACUUCCUUCAUCAAAGAGGAAUGCAAGAGGCUGCAGAGACUGGUCCAUCAUGGCACAACUCUCCCCUCCAUCAAAAGCAUCCACGUGAGAUGUGUGUCAAGGAGACGGCUUCUAUCAUCAAGCAACCCCUCCACUCUCUUCUUGCUCUACCAUCAGACAGGAGGUACAGAAGCCUGAAGGCUAACACCACCAGGUUAAGGAACAGCUGCUUUUCUACAACUAUCGUUCAUUGCCACAGACAGGAGCGAACGCCAGGACAUUUGGAAUUUUUUAAGGUGGAGAUAAAUAAUUUAUUUUCAUUCGCUGGCAUUGCUGAUGGGAAAAGUCCUCUUGUCCUGCGCAGCGGAGGGGGACUCGGAGUAAGAUGGCCAAAAAUCACAGCCUGUCACCGCAGGACAUUCCAUUCUGUUGGACUGUACUGCACUGCCUGUCCCUUGUAGAAAUGUUCACAUAGAGAACACCUUUGCCAAGUCAAUCAGGCAGUGAUUGCACAGAAAUAACUGGAGGCCCUGGAGAUGGUGGAUCGAAUGGUAUGGUUCCCUCGGCAAAACUUUCAAAGUCAUUUAGCAGAAUCCUCAAUGCCAGAACUCUCAAGCAAGCUCCAAGAACCUGCAUAGAUAAUGGUAAGCGUGGCUGACCCCGUCGGAUCUCUUUUGCACAGUCAGAUCCUGAUAUCACAGCCCUUGAAGCCCGCGUGAUGUUGAUGAGACUGUCAUCUAUCUUGUCAUGGGCUGUGUCUUUUCCAGAAAAGGGAUGCAGUGGUCUAUGUCAGGAUUUAUCUGGAACAGGACUCUGUGCUGUCUGCACAGGUUGUUCCCAGGUAAAUAUACUGAGAUAAACAUUGAUUGCUGCUGGAAAAUUAUCAACUUUGAUCUGUCUAAAACUCAUUGUUCUUUCAGUACAAGGAAAUGUUUGCAACUGAAUGUCACUGACUGGGCAUUCCAAAGUUCAGGAGUAAUUGCUGUAUGAUCUACUGAGAGUGCAUCUGUUGGAACGGUUCAAUGGGGGGAAAUAAAACACACUUGAGGGACACUGAAGGACUGACCCUGGUGCGUUUCUCAAGCAUUACACUGAGACAAUGUUUGCAGAUGAAACAUUAGUGACUUUGACACACUGUA